rnacentral:rRNA from 58 species
GACUCUCGGCAACGGAUAUCUCGGCUCUCGCAUCGAUGAAGAACGUAGCGAAAUGCGAUACUUGGUGUGAAUUGCAGAAUCCCGUGAACCAUCGAGUCUUUGAACGCAAGUUGCGCCCGAAGCCGUCAGGCCGAGGGCACGCCUGCCUGGGCGUCACAC